GACGAACGCUGGCGGCGUGCUUAACACAUGCAAGUCGAACGGAAAGGCCCUGCUUUUGUGGGGUGCUCGAGUGGCGAACGGGUGAGUAACACGUGAGUAACCUGCCCUUGACUUUGGGAUAACUUCAGGAAACUGGGGCUAAUACCGGAUAGGAUCUCCUGCUGCACGGUGGGGGUUGGAAAGUUUCGGCGGUUGGGGAUGGACUCGCGGCUUCUCAGCUUGUUGGUGGGGUAGUGGCUUACCCAGGCUUUGACGGGUAGCCGGCCUGAGAGGGUGAGCGGCCACAUAGGGACUGAGAGAAGGCCCAGACUCCUGUGGGAGGCAGGAGAGGGGAAUGGUGCAGAAUGGGCGGAAGCCGAAUACAACAAGGCCGAGUGCGGGAUGACGGCAGUCGGGUUGUAAAGCGCUUUCGCUGGAGACGAAGCGUGAGUGACGGUAAUGGGUAAAGAAGCACCGGCUAACUACGUG
rnacentral:rRNA from 1 species